rnacentral:rRNA from 1 species
UACGUAAGGUCCGAGCGUUGUCCGGAAUCAUUGGGCGUAAAGGGUACGUAGGCGGAUAAGCAAGUUAGAAGUAAAAUGCUAUAGCUCAACUAUAGUAUGCUUUGAAAACUGCUCAUCUUGAGGUAUGGAAGGGAAAGUGGAAUUCCUAGUGUAGCGGUGAAAUGCGCAGAUAUAAGGAGGAAUACCGGUGGCGAAGGCGACUUUCUGGCAAGUAUCAGACGCUGAGGUACGAAAGCGUGGGGAGCAAACAGG